AAAAGAUAAGGGAAUGAAGUUCUCCCUAGUAUAAUACUGUUGUAUUAUAUUUAAACCGCAUUUAUGCUGAUGACUUCUGCUAUUAU
rnacentral:ncRNA from 2 species